rnacentral:rRNA from 1 species
UGGGGAAUAUUGCACAAUGGGGGAAACCCUGAUGCAGCGACGCCGCGUGAAGGAAGAAGUAUCUCGGUAUGUAAACUUCUAUCAGCAGGGAAGAUAGUGACGGUACCUGACUAAGAAGCCCCGGCUAACUACGUGCCAGCAGCCGCGGUAAUACGUAGGGAGCAAGCGUUGUCCGGAUUUACUGGGUGUAAAGGGUGCGUAGGCGGAUUGGCAAGUCAGAAGUGAAAUCCAUGGGCUUAACCCAUGAACUGCUUUUGAAACUGUUAGUCUUGAGUGAAGUAGAGGUAGGCGGAAUUCCCGGUGUAGCGGUGAAAUGCGUAGAGAUCGGGAGGAACACCAGUGGCGAAGGCGGCCUACUGGGCUUUAACUGACGCUGAGGCACGAAAGUGUGGGUAGCAAACAGGAUUAGAUACCCUGGUAGUCCACACUGUAAACGAUGAUUACUAGGUGUGGGGGGUCUAACCCCCUCCGUGCCGGAGUUAACACAAUAAGUAAUCCACCUGGGGAGUACGACCGCAAGGUUGAAACUCAAAGGAAUUGACGGGGGCCCGCACAAGCAGUGGAGUAUGUGGUUUAAUUCGACGCAACGCGAAGAACCUUACCAGGUCUUGACAUCCAACUAACGAAGCAGAGAUGCGUUAGGUGCCCUUCGGGGAAAGUUGAGACAGGUGGUGCAUGGUUGUCGUCAGCUCGUGUCGUGAGAUGUUGGGUUAAGUCCCGCAACGAGCGCAACCCUUGUGAUUAGUUGCUACGCAAGAGCACUCUAAUCAGACUGCCGUUGACAAAACGGAGGAAGGUGGGGACGACGUCAAAUCAUCAUGCCCUUUAUGACCUGGGCUACACACGUACUACAAUGGUCGUUAACAGAGGGAAGCAAUACCGCGAGGUGGAGCAAAACCCUAAAAACGGUCUCAGUUCAGAUUGUAGGCUGCAACUCGCCUACAUGAAGUUGGAAUUGCUAGUAAUCGCGGAUCAGCAUGCCGCGGUGAAUACGUUCCC